UACGAAGGAUGCAAGCGUUAUCCGGAUUCACUGGGUUUAAAGGGUGUGCAGGUGGGGUAAUAAGUCAGUGGUGAAAGCCCCCGACUCAAUCGGGGAACUGCCAUAGAUACUGUUAUUCUUGAGUGUAGUUGAGGCGGAUGGAAUAUGACAUGUAGCGGUGAAAUGCUUAGAUAUGUCAUAGAACACCGAUCGCGAAGGCAGUCCGCCAAACUAUUAUUGACACUGAAACACGAAAGUGCGGGGAUCAAACAGG
rnacentral:rRNA from 1 species